GAUGAACGCUGGCGGCGUGCCUAAUACAUGCAAGUCGAGCGAACAGACGAGGAGCUUGCUCCUCUGACGUUAGCGGCGGACGGGUGAGUAACACGUGGAUAACCUACCUAUAAGACUGGGAUAACUUCGGGAAACCGGAGCUAAUACCGGAUAAUAUAUUGAACCGCAUGGUUCAAUAGUGAAAGACGGUUUUGCUGUCACUUAUAGAUGGAUCCGCGCCGCAUUAGCUAGUUGGUAAGGUAACGGCUUACCAAGGCAACGAUGCGUAGCCGACCUGAGAGGGUGAUCGGCCACACUGGAACUGAGACACGGUCCAGAGUCCUACGGGAGGCAGCAGUAGGGAAUCUUCCGCAAUGGGCGAAUGCCUGACGGAGCAACGCCGCGUGAGUGAUGAAGGUCUUCGGAUCGUAAAACUCUGUUAUUAGGGAAGAACAAAUGUGUAAGUAACUAUGCACGUCUUGACGGUACCUAAUCAGAAAGCCACGGCUAACUACGUG
rnacentral:rRNA from 1 species